GGGGCUGAUCGGUUUCGACGACGGGACCGGGAGCCGAUUCGUGCGACCCGAGUUGCCUCAGACUCGUUAAUCGGGGGCACAACCACAACUGCCAAUGAUGAGCAGUUCGCCCUCGCCGCCUGAUCACUCAGGAGACGAGAGCGAAAAUCGCGACCAGCAAUGGCACGCGGGGCCUGACCGCUGCAGCCCGGCAACAGAAGCAGCGGUGGACAGCAGGGAGAGACCGCUGACGGCGUGAAAGACCGCUGACCUCAGGGAAAGACCUGGCGGCGGGGUCCUCGUGGCCCACCUGACCUGGCAGGCCGGUAGCCGUGAACCGGAAUCGCAGGAACGGUCGUAGCGCGAGCGGUCACCACCUGGCGGACGGGGGUUCGAUUCCCCCCAGCUCCACUC
rnacentral:tmRNA from 1 species